rnacentral:rRNA from 1 species
UACGGAAGGCAGCAGUGGGGAAUAUUGCACAAUGGGCGCAAGCCUGAUGCAGCCAUGCCGCGUGUAUGAAGAAGGCCUUCGGGUUGUAAAGUACUUUCAGUCGUGAGGAAGGUGUUAAGGUUAAUAACCUUAGCAAUUGACGUUAGCGACAGAAGAAGCACCGGCUAACUCCGUGCCAGCAGCCGCGGUAAUACGGAGGGUGCGAGCGUUAAUCGGAAUUACUGGGCGUAAAGGGCACGCAGGCGGUUAAUUAAGUUGGAUGUGAAAUCCCCGGGCUUAACCUGGGAAUGGCAUUCAAGACUAGUUAGCUAGAGUCUUGUAGAGGGGGUAGAAUUCCAUGUGUAGCGGUGAAAUGCGUAGAGAUGUGGAGGAAUACCGGUGGCGAAGGCGGCCCCUGGGACAAAGACUGACGCUCAUGUGCGAAAGCGUGGGGAGCAAACAGGAUUAGAUACC